GAGAGGAAGAAGAAGGAGGAGAACCAGCAGCUGAAUAGUGUCAAACCUUCCUCAAACUUAGUUAAAUUCAGAAGGUGGUGCGGUCGGGAUUGGACCAUCAUCAAGACAGGAACGACCCACAGGUGGAGCAGGGACGUCACACCAACGAGAUGUCUAGGAUACCCGAUACACGGGAACCUACUUUUGCAAGGAAUUAAGUAGAUGCAUUCUAAAUCACAAUGUAUUUUGUAGGG